CAGCAAGUGUGAUACAUUCCGUUCCAACAUUCCUAGACCUUUAUAAACUAAAAGGUGAACCUUAAAUGACCACCAUGUUCAGAUAAAUAUGUGAGAAGCUCUCAUUUUAUUGCUUCAUGAUUCUUCUAAUUCCUGUGUAACUAGACAUAUCUGCACGGUUGCUGUAACAGCAGCAUAUCUCCACAUAAUUACAUACUCGCCCUAAUGCACACUGAGAAUAGCCACGCCUUGUUGCACAAACCAGAGGGGUUUAAUUAUCUCCCUUUGAUAGCUCUUUUGGAAAACAAGUUCUGGAUCUUCACUCAGCAAAGUAAAUAUGGGAAGGAAGAACUUUUGACAGAAAAACAAGGCAACACAAAAUACAGACAGAAACUUAAGCAAUGUAGAUGGUGGUGUGUCAAUUUCAGCAAAUCGGACCAUGGAUAAAGGGUGCUCAUCAAUGCCUUGUGGUAUGUCACAAAUCACCAGGACACCAUCAGAAGAGUCAUCAUUGAAGAGUGACAUUCGUCCAGUUCCACCCAUAUUUGAGAAAUUUUCGGGGUUUGCAAGUUUGCGUUGGCAAGUGGACAACGACGCUAUUAGAACUGUAUAAAAGAGGCUUUAUUCUUUGGAGACCUGCCCUUCACCACUCUAUAAUAAAAAU